rnacentral:lncRNA from 1 species
GACAAUGAGGGUAAGCAGGAGGCACUGGUGAUAACUGCAGGGAUGUAUUUGAAAGCCACUGUACCCAUUUUUCUAGAUGAAAAUAUCUUCCCUUGAAUGGCCCAAGUGAAGGUAAAUGACUUCUAGUCUGCCCUCUCUGAAACCCAUGCCCCACUGCUCAUCAAAGAAGACUGAGGUCCUCAAAGAUGAGAAUGGCUGCCUAUUAAAGACCCUUCCAAUAGACUGCAGCACAGUGGAUGGACUAGACAGACAGGUGGAGUCAGGAUUCCACAAGCCCACUGUCCUUCUCUUCUGGUACCCAGGAAUCUGACCAAAACAGCCCUUCUGGUUUUCCUGGGACUAAGCACAUUUGUGGAACACCAGGCAAUCAGAGCUAAAGUUGAGAAAGCCCAGGGCAAACUCAGAUGAGCUGGCUCCCCCUACAAAAUGCUUUCUGCUGAAGGUCGUUAAGAGCUUAUGUGAAGAAAAAUGAGGUCAGUGUGUUUAGUUUGUACUCUUUCAAGGCCCCCUCAGACUGGCUUCUCGCAAUCUGAAGUCAUUGCCCCUGUCCAGGAGAUCUUUGCCCCCCAGAUCUCCCCUUCCGGUUUCUAGCAAUCAUGUUACUCUUUGUGGGGAGAGGAGACUAGGGGUGGUGAUAGCCCUGAAGCUACUGAUCCCAAAUAUCUUCACCAUCUCUCACACUUUAGUGAACUGUCCUUGUAAUAAUAAGUUCUCUUCAAAUGACCCAAAUUUGAGUGAGCUGUUAUUUUUCAUGGGGCUCCUGACAGACAUGAGAGAAAAUACAGAAACAAGUAUUAUUACAAGUCAUUAAGAUGUGAAGGAACCUAGCCUCCCUAUGCCUCGGUUCCCCAUCUGAGUCCGUAGCUACAGCAUAGGAUUGUUAUAAGAAGUGAUUAAGAAAAUCUACUUUUAUCUGUGUUUUCAUGUAUCAAAAGCACUCAGCAA